rnacentral:rRNA from 1 species
UACGUAGGGUGCGAGCGUUAAUCGGAAUUACUGGGCGUAAAGCGUGUGCAGGUGGUCUGUUAAGACAGGUGUGAAAUCCCCGGGCUUAACCUGGGAAUUGCGCUUGUUACUGGCAGACUAGAGUGCGUCAGAGGGAGGUGGAAUUCCACGUGUAGCAGUGAAAUGCGUAGAGAUGUGGAGGAACACCGAUGGCGAAGGCAGCCUCCUGGGAUGACACUGACGCUCAUACACGAAAGCGUGGGGAGCAAACAGG